UGGGGGAAUCUUCCGCAAUGGGCGCAAGCCUGACGGAGCAACGCCGCGUGAGUGAAGAAGGUUUUUCGGAUCGUAAAGCUCUGUUGAGAGGGACGAGAGGCAAGGCUAGGAAAUGAGCUUUGUAGGACGGUACCUUUCGAGGAAGCCACGGCUAACUACGUGCCAGCAGCCGCGGUAAUACGUAGGUGGCGAGCGUUGUCCGGAAUUAUUGGGCGUAAAGGGAGCGCAGGUGGGAAAGUAAGUCAGUCUUAAAAGUGCGGGGCUCAACCCCGUGAGGGGAUUGAAACUACUUUUCUUGAGUGCAGGAGAGGAAAGCGGAAUUCCUAGUGUAGCGGUGAAAUGCGUAGAUAUUAGGAGGAA
rnacentral:rRNA from 1 species